rnacentral:ncRNA from 1 species
UCCCCGAUUGAUUCUGUCGGCGGUUAUAUGCUUGUCUCAAAGGCUAAGCCAUGCAUGUCUAAGUUCAAGCGUUCCUAAAAUGGUGAAACCGCGAACGGCUCAUUAUAACAGCUAUAAUGUACUUGAUCUUGAUUAUCCAACGUGGAUAACUGUGGUAAUUCUAGAGCUAAUACAUGCACCAAAGCUCCGACUUAUGGACGAGCGCAUCUAUUAGAUUAAAACCAAUCGGGGCAACCCGUUCAUUGGUGACUCUGAAUAGCUCAAGCUGAUCGCAUGGUCUUGCACCGGCGACGUAUCUAUCAAGUGUCUGCCUUAUCAACUUUCGAUGGUAGUUUAUGUGCCUACCAUGGUUGUAACGGGUAACGGAGAAUAAGGGUUCGACUCCGGAGAGGGAGCCUGAGAAACGGCUACCACAUCCAAGGAAGGCAGCAGGCGCGCAAAUUACCCACUCUCAGCAUGAGGAGGUAGUGACGAAAAAUAACGAGACCGUUCUCUUUGAGGCCGGUUAUCGGAAU